GCUAGGCUGCCGCGUACCAUCACAUGUCAGUCGAACGCAUAACAGGAACUUGCUUGUUUGUUGACUAACGACUGACGGACGAGUGAUGUCUGUCUGGCUGCCUGAUGGAUGGAGGGGGAUACUGACUGGAAACGGUAAUUAAGACUAACUACCGACGAACGACCAAGGAGACCGACCUUCCUGUUGCUUGCCGAUGUGCGCGCACGGAAGGAAUUAGCUGGUGGGGGGUGGGCCC
rnacentral:rRNA from 1 species